AUUGAACGCUGGCGGCAGGCCUAACACAUGCAAGUCGAGCGGGGGUAGCAAUACUCUAGCGGCGAACGGGUGAGGAAUGCUUGGGAAUCUGCCUGGUAGUGGGGGAUAACGUUCCGAAAGGAACGCUAAUACCGCAUACGUCCUACGGGGGAAAGGGGGGGAUCUUCGGACCUCUCGCUAUCAGAUGAGCCCAAGCGGGAUUAGCCAGUUGGUGAGGUAAAGGCUCACCAAGGCGACGAUCCCUAGCUGGUCUGAGAGGAUGAUCAGCCACACUGGAACUGAGACACGGUCCAGACUCCUACGGGAGGCAGCAGUGGGGAAUAUUGGACAAUGGGCGAAAGCCUGAUCCAGCCAUGCCGCGUGUGUGAAGAAGGCCUUCGGGUUGUAAAGCACUUUAAGCGAGGAGGAAGGUUCGUCACCUAAUACGUGACGGAAUUGACGUUACCCGCAGAAUAAGCACCGGCUAACUCUGUGCCAGCCGCCGCUGUAAUAC
rnacentral:rRNA from 1 species